rnacentral:rRNA from 1 species
UUAUAUGGUCAAGAAGAGAAGCGCAAACGGUGGAUGCCUUGGCAGUAAGAGGCGAAGAAGGACGUGGAAUCCUGCGAAAAGCUAUGGGGAGCUGGAAACGAGCGUUGAGCCAUAGAUGUCCGAAUGGGGGAACCCGGCUGCAGCGAUGCGGUCAUUUGCAUUUGAAUACAUAGGAUGCAAAGGCGAACUCGGGGAACUGAAACAUCUAAGUACCCGAAGGAAAAGAAAUCAAGAGAGAUUCUCCAAGUAGCGGCGAGCGAACGGGGAGGAGCCUGGCGUGAUUUAUUAUUGAACUGAGUAGAACAAUUUGGGAAAGUUGGCGAUAGAGGGUGAAAGCCCCGUAUACGAAGGUUUGAUGAGGAACUAGGCACGCGAACAAGUAGGCCGGGACACGUGAAAUCCUGGUUGAAGAUGGGUGGACCAUCAUCCAAGGCUAAAUACU